AGCGAGGCAAGUGUGACUGUUUGUAACUUCCUGUUUGGACCGGAUACAAUCUGUGCACCUGAAGCGAAGACAUCUGUGGUGUGAAGCUGUUGGAAACAACUAUUAUAUGAAAGCAGACACAGAGGAUGGCUGAAGGUGUGAGGCGAAGGAGAAAGCUGAAGCCCGUGGAGGAGGCCAUACAGUUUUCACUUCAACAGAAAGACAAGAAUGGACUCGAGGGCAGGUUCAUCAGUCAUCUUAAAGGUGACUCUGAAGAAGGACCAGUUACUAUUGGAUGAUCAGGACUGUGUUGAGAAGAUGUCACCUGUCAAAGAGCAUGUGUUGAAUGAGGAGCAGAGCUUUUGUGCCCCAGUUGAAGGAGUUAAGGAGGUAUUCACAUGUUUCGGAUGAACUGUUAUUUCAGUGCAACAGUGAUUGCUCUGAAGUCCAUGUCUGCAUGAACUGUACACUUUGCUGUUACUAAAUGCAUGUAUUUAGUGACCUGUUUUCACUUUCAGUAAUAUUAGUCGAUGUCUGAAUCAGGGGUGUCCAGACUCGGUCCUGGAGGGUCAGUGUCCUGCAGAGUUUACACCGGCCCUCCAGGACCGCUCUAAAUGUAGAUUUGUAGUAAUAUAUUGACCAGAACCUUUUAAGGUCUGUAACGUAAAUGUUUUUAAUGAUUGUAAGUGAUCUUAUUAACUAAAUGACCACAACUUCCCUGUCAUUAAAAAUACAUUCAAUUAUUAUUGAAAGACAAUGCAGCUCGUAAUGUAGUAUCACAUGUAUGUUUUAGAAUCUUUCUUUGUUGCUUUAAUUUAACACUCACUGAUGUUUUUUUCUUCACAGGUCUGCAGACAUGUUGUGGUCACUUCAGCAAUAUCAAGCAUGGAUAAAUGUGCUGAAUGUGUGGGACCUGUUGCAGCUCUCAAGUGGAUUGGCCUGAGAUGUAAAUGUUAGUAUGGUGAUUUGUACUCUAUACAUCAUGACACUUCUAUUUUUAUCAUUUUAGUAUCACUAAUCAACGUUAUGAAGUCAGUUCAAAAUGGUAUAACUGUUGAGUUUGGCAGUAGGAGAGAAGGAGAUUUCAGACCAUUGCUAAUGCACAGAUAUGUAAUACCAUUAAUAAUAAUAGGAGUGUUACAUUGUUUUCACCUUAUUCUACGUUUAGGCAUAGAAUCUCGUGUUAGCGGUUGAACGUGUCCUGACAUGUGACAUUUCUUUUAUAGUGUGCUCCAGUUUUUGGCAUAAGUCCUGCUAUCUGAAGCUUCAUGAAUGGGAUGGAAGACGGUCAUCGUGUGUAAGAAAAUAUUUGAUUUGAUACAUUUGUUCCAUAUUUUUGAGUUAUCGGUGCUGUAAAUUAAUCAUAAAUAUUUUGACAAUAGGAAGUAAGUUCAGAGGAAGAUGAGCUGUCAGAUGAGGAUUACAUACCUCAGUCAGAGUCAGACCAUCAGUCAGACAGUUCAGAUGAGUUGACAACAAGACCAGCACGUUACGACCAAGCUAAACUCUUAGAUAUACAGGAAGCUGCGUCAUCUAAGUUUAGUGAACAUCUGAGAUCAGAUGUAACUACCCUGAAUGUGUCUAAGGGCAAAG
rnacentral:lncRNA from 1 species